GGGCGAAAGCCUGAUCCAGCAAUGCCGCGUGCAGGAUGAAGGCCUUCGGGUUGUAAACUGCUUUUGUACGGAACGAAAAGCUUCGGGUUAAUACCCUGGAGCCAUGACGGUACCGUAAGAAUAAGCACCGGCUAACUACGUGCCAGCAGCCGCGGUAAUACGUAGGGUGCAAGCGUUAAUCGGAAUUACUGGGCGUAAAGCGCGUGUAGGCGGUCGGGCAAGUCAGAUGUGAAAGCCUUCCGCUCAACGGAAGAAGUGCAUUUGAAACUACCCGGCUGGAGUACGGGAGAGGAGAGUGGAAUUCCCGGUGUAGAGGUGAAAUUCGUAGAUAUCGGGAGGAACACCAGUGGCGAAGGCGGCUCUCUGGUCCGAUACUGACGCUGAGACGCGAAAGCGUGGGGAGCAAACAGGAUUAGAUACCCUGGUAGUCCACGCCGUAAACGAUGGGCACUAGGUGUAGGAGGUAUUGACCCCUUCUGUGCCGAAGUUAACGCAUUAAGUGCCCCGCCUGGGGAGUACGGC
rnacentral:rRNA from 1 species